UUCCGUCCGCAUCGUAACGGAUUUCGUAGAAAGCAAAUUGACCAAGACCGGUACGUUUAAUGGUCUUCAAAAAUUGCUUGGGAAUAAUUUUGUCAGUGUCGACAUUAGCCAUAGGCAAAGGAGCAGCAAUGCCUUCAACGACGGUGAAUUUGGGAAUACCGGCAGAUCCAGAAGAUACAGAACCAGCAACAUUAGUGGCAAUGCCAUCAGCAUCAGUAACUGCAUCAGUAGCAUCGUCAACAGAAAGGCCUAUAUCACC